rnacentral:SRP_RNA from 14 species
GGCGUUGUUAGAAGCAAGCUCGGCAUGGGAACCGCAUCGUCUGAGAACGACGCCAUGGCCUGAUGGGAGCAGCUCAAAGUCGCGCUCCAGAGGACC